CACUUAGAGCGCUGGUUAUGUGUGUAAGUGUGAGUGUGUAAGUGUGUAAGUGUAGGGACCUGCUGGAGACAGCAGCAAAGAAAGGGGUCGGGUGCAUUGCUGAGAGCUGAUUCUCCAUGUGAUCCAGUAGUGGGUGAAACCUGCUGUGUCUCUCCUUGUUGCUGAUUGGCUAGCGGAGAGCUCGUAGACCUGGCCUAAUUUAAACAGCCAGAAUAUCUGCCAGGUCCCCUUUUGACCUUCUGUUCUUUAUGGAACCGCCCGACCCAUAGCCGCAGUUUCCGCGGAUCAGGACGGAAGUGAGCUCUGCACAGCGGAACCAGCUUCCCGGAAGUCUUUUGGCCAGCCGGAGAGACGCAUGCGUGCUGGUGGCCAGAAGAAAGCGUGGGCGUGUUCAAAGCUGCGGGCGGUGGUUGUGGCGUUAGAACUGCGGCGGGCAGCUAUGGGGAGGCCCUCCCAGUUCCCUGCUCCAGCUCAGCUGGUCUCCGCCUCCCGAUCUCAGCCCCGACCUCUCCUCUGCGGCAACGUCAGCACAGCGGCUUGCCAAGAUUGCGUCUGAGCGUACCCCAAGAUCCCUCAAGUAGAGGUCCGCCUUGUUCGGUGACACCGUGGAGACCACGGCGCCGGCAGACAAUGCAAAAAGUUGAGGCUUUGGAGGCAAGCGUGUCUUUGUGAACGUUUCAUCUUUUCCUACCAUCUGUGGUUGCUUCAAGUAUUAUUCCAAACGAGCUGGGCAUUCUUUAAAUAAUUGAAAAAUAUAUUUGAAAUAUGUGUAUUUCUGUGGAGAGCUACUAAUCUCGUACACGGUUGCCAUGGAACCCAGUGAGCUCUCAAUAGGCUAAUUGUAACAGACUACAAACAAAUUACGAGCAUCGUAAAACCCGUUGACUCUUGGAGUUUCCAGGUGUCUUUGAAGAGUGUAGAAGCCAUUUGAGCAGCACUUAGGUUUAAAAUUGGGAUUUGGACCUUUAAUGGGAAGACGCCAAACUGGUGUUAACACGCUUGAGGCAUCAUGCCUGUCUUAGUGUAAUUUUUUUGUUGUUUUAAAAUACUUCUGUGCAUUUGUGAAUUUGGACAAACUCAAAGUAAAGGAAAAUCAUCCCCCAAGUGGAUAAUUCCACGUUGAACCAGCCCGAACAUGUUGGCUUAUUUUUAGCCCUUUCCUAUGUGAAAUAUUAAAUUUCACACUUGUGUA